GGGGAUUUAGCUCAGUGGUAGAGUGCUUGCCUAGCAAGCAGAGGGCCCUGGGUUCGGUCCCCAGCUCCG
rnacentral:tRNA from 1 species